ACUGCCGGCGACAAGCCGGAGGAAGGUGGGAUGACGUCAAGUCAUCAUGGCCCUUAUGUCCAGGGCGACACACGUGCUACAAUGGCCGGCACAGCGGGAAGCGAGGGGGCGACCUUGAGCGGAUCCCUCAAAAGCCGGUCUCAGUUCGGAUUGCAGUCUGCAACUCGACUGCAUGAAGUUGGAAUCGCUAGUAAUCGUGGAUCAGCCAAGCCGCGGUGAAUACGUUCCCGGGCCUU
rnacentral:rRNA from 1 species